rnacentral:rRNA from 1 species
CUACGGGAGGCAGCAGUGGGGAAUCUUGCGCAAUGGGCGAAAGCCUGACGCAGCCAUGCCGCGUGAAUGAUGAAGGGCUUAGGAUUGUAAAAUUCUUUCACCGGGGACGAUAAUGACGGACCCGA